rnacentral:rRNA from 1 species
GUGCGAACGUUGUUCGGAAUUACUGGGCGUAAAGCGCGUGUAGGCGGCAGCGCAAGUCGGGCGUGAAAUCCCACGGCUCAACCGUGGAAGUGCACUCGAAACUGCGCAGCUAGAGUCCUGGAGAGGAAGGUGGAAUGCUUGGUGUAGAGGUGAAAUUCGUAGAUAUCAAGCGGAACACCGGUGGCGAAGGCGGCCUGCUGGACAGUGACUGACGCUGAGACGCGAAAGCGUGGGGAGCAAACAGG